rnacentral:ncRNA from 11 species
GUCUUUAUGGCUUAGUGGUUAAAGCAUCUCACUGUUAAUGAGAAUACAUAGGUUCAAUUCCUAUUGAAGACG